GGAGCCGUGCCUGAAUUAAAGGACCACUUUGAUAGAGUGAACCAUGGGGGUUAAAGUCCCCCCGCCUCCU
rnacentral:tRNA from 1 species